rfam:Lentisphaera araneosa HTCC2155 1101329224557, whole genome shotgun sequence.
GCUAGUUCUCACGAACUAGGCUAAGUUAUGGCGUGCUUUCAGCACU